ACUCAAAUAGUCAAGUGGUCAAGACACCUUGAAUAUAUAUACCAUUCAUAUACCAAUAUUUCAAGGAGGCGGGUGGUUCAAUUCCCCCUUUGGGUA